rnacentral:rRNA from 1 species
UACGGAGGGUGCGAGCGUUGUCCGGAAUCACUGGGCGUAAAGGGCGCGUAGGCGGUCGGAUAAGCGUGCGGUGAAAGCCCGGGGCUCAACCCCGGGUCGGCCGUGCGGACUGUUCGACUGGAGCACUGUAGAGGCAGGUGGAAUUCCGGGUGUAGCGGUGGAAUGCGUAGAGAUCCGGAAGAACACCGGUGGCGAAGGCGGCCUGCUGGGCAGUUGCUGACGCUGAGGCGCGACAGCGUGGGGAACAAACAGG